UAGGGUAUCUUCGGCAAUGGGGGCAACCCUGACCGAGCAACGCCGCGUGAGUGAAGAAGGUUUUCGGAUCGUAAAGCUCUGUUGUAAGAGAAGAACGUGUGUGAGAGUGGAAAGUUCACACAGUGACGGUAACUUACCAGAAAGGGACGGCUAACUACGUGCCAGCAGCCGCGGUAAUACGUAGGUCCCGAGCGUUGUCCGGAUUUAUUGUGCGUAAAGCGAGCGCAGGCGGUUUAAUAAGUCUGAAGUUAAAGGCAGUGGCUUAACCAUUGUUCGCUUUGGAAACUGUUAAACUUGAGUGCAGAAGGGGGGAGUGGAAUUCCAUGUGUAGCGGUGAGAUGCGUAGAUAUAUGGAGGAACACCGGUGGCGAAAGCGGCUCUCUUGUCUGUAACUGACGCUGAGGCUCGAAAGCGUGGGGAGCAAACAGG
rnacentral:rRNA from 1 species